rnacentral:rRNA from 1 species
UAAAUGACUCUCGGCAACGGAUAUCUCGGCUCUCGCAUCGAUGAAGAACGUAGCGAAAUGCGAUACUUGGUGUGAAUUGCAGAAUCCCGUGAACCAUCGAGUCUUUGAACGCAAGUUGCGCCCGAAGCCAUUAGGUCGAGGGCACGCCUGCCUGGGCAU